AGUGAAAGAGAACCUGAAACCCUAUGUUUACAAGCAGAUAAAGCGAAUUAAGGCGCGAUAUCGUACUUUUUGUAGAACGGUCCAGCGAGUUAUUGUAUAUGGCGAGGUUAAGUUGUAAGUAAGCAACGAAGCCGGAGUGAAAGCGAGUCUGAAGAGGGCGUAAAAGUCAUAUGUAAUAGACCCGAAACCGGGUGACCUAUCCAUGGUCAGGAUGAAGCUAAAGUAAAAUUUAGUGGAGGUCCGAACUGAUUGUCGUUAAAAAGGCACCGGAUGAACUGUGGAUAGCGGAGAAAUUCCAAUCGAACUCGGAGAUAGCUGGUUCUCCUCGAAAUAGCUUUAGGGCUAGCCUUGAGGGAAGAUAUGUGGGGGUAGAGCACUGAAUGAGGUAGGGGCCUAACCAGGUUACUGAACUCUAUCAAACUGCGAAUACCAUGUAUUAAUACUCAGGAGUCAGACUACGGGAGCUAAGUUCCGUGGUCAAAAGGGAAAGAGCCCAGACCGACAAUUAAGGUCCCAAAGAUAUAGUUAAGUGGGAAACGAUGUGAAUUUGCGUAAACAACCAGGAUGUUGGCUCAGAAGCAGCCAUUCAUUCAAAGAGUGCGUAACAGCUCACUGGUCGAGUGAAUUUGCGCGGAAAAUUACCGGGGCUAAACUAUACACCGAAAUUACGGAUUUGUAAAUGAAAAUUUAUAAGUGGUAGAGGAGCAUUCUGUGGUAGGGCGAAGCUAAAGCGAGAGCAUUAGUGGACGAAGCAGAAGAGAGAAUGCUGGAAUAAGUAGCGAGAGCGAGGUGAGAAUCCUUGCCGUCGAAAGUCUAAGGUUUCCUGGGGAAGGUUCGUCCGCCCAGGGUAAGUCGGGACCUAAGGAGAGGCCGAAAGGCGUAUCUGAUGGAUAGCAGGUGGAAAUUCCUGCACUAUAGCCAUACUUAAAAGAUGCAAGGGACGCAGGAGAGGAAGAUAACCGAGGAAGAGGAAAAACUCGGAUCGAAAGAUGGAGUGAAAAUAGAAGUAACGAAGUAUCAAGAAUCACACUGACGAGAAAAGCUUGUAGAGAUUGUAUGGAAAUACCCGUACCGCAAACCGACACAGGUAGAUAGGAAGAGGAUCCUAAGACGAACGGGAGAAGCAUUGUUAAGGAACUCGGCAAAAUAACCCCGUAACUUCGGGAGAAGGGGAGCCUAUGUAAAAGUAGGCCGCAGUGAAAAGGCCCAAGCAACUGUUUAACAAAAACACAGGUUUCUGCUAAAUCGAAAGAUGAAGUAUAGGAGCUGACGCCUGCCCAGUGCUGGAAGGUUAAGGGGAAAUGUUAGGAGCAAUCCGAAGCAUAGAACUGAAGCCCCAGUGAACGGCGGCCGUAACUAUAACGGUCCUAAGGUAGCGAAAUUCCUUGUCAGGUAAGUUCUGACCCGCACGAAAGGCGUAAUGAUUUGGGCACUGUCUCGACAAUGUACCCGGCGAAAUUGUAGUACUAGUGAAGAUGCUAGUUACCUGCGACAAGACAGAAAGACCCCAUGGAGCUUUACUGCAGUUUGAUACUGGGUUUUGAUAAACUAUGUACAGGAUAGGUGGGAGACUAAGAAAGCAAGGCGUCAGCUUUGUGGAGUCACCGUUGGGAUACCACUCUUAGUUUGUUGAAAUUCUAACUAGUGGUCAUGACCUGGCCAGAGGACAAUGUCAGACGGGCAGUUUGACUGGGGCGGUCGCCUCCAAAAGAGUAACGGAGGCGCCCAAAGGUUUCCUCAGCGCGGACAGAAAUCGCGCGAAAGAGUGUAAAGGCAGAAGGAAGCUUAACUGGAAGACAGACAUGUCGAGCAGAUACGAAAGUAGGGCUUAGUGAUCCGGUGGAAUUGAAUGGAAAAGCCAUCGCUCAACGGACAAAAGUUACCCUGGGGAUAACAGGCUUAUCUCCCCCAAGAGUUCACAUCGACGGGGAGGUUUGGCACCUCGAUGUCGGCUCAUCGCAUCCUGGAGCGGAAGUACGUUCCAAGGGUUGGGCUGUUCGCCCAUUAAAGCGGUACGCGAGCUGGGUUCAGAACGUCGUGAGACAGUUCGGUCCUUAUCUGUCGCAGGCGCAAGAUAUUUGAAGGGAGCUGUCCUUAGUACGAGAGGACCAGGAUGGACAUAUAGAGGGUGAAUCAGUUGUUACACCAGUAGCAUAGCUGAGAAGCCAAGUAUGGAAGGGAUAAACGCUGAAAGCAUCUAAGUGUGAAGCCCACCCUAAGAUAAGAUAUCUCAUACCGUCAAGGUAGU
rnacentral:rRNA from 1 species